GGACGAACGGCUGGCGGCGUGCCUAAUACAUGCAAGUCGAACGGGUCUUUCUAUGGAAGCUUGCUUCCACUGAGAAGAUAGUGGCGAACGGGUGAGUAACACGUGGGUAACCUGCCCAUAAGAGGGGGAGUAACAUCCGGAAACGGGUGCUAAUACCGCAUAGUUUUCUUGAUCGCAUGAUCGGGAAAGGAAAGACGGCCUUUGUGCUGUCGCUUAUGGAUGGACCCGCGGCGUAUUAGUUAGUUGGUGAGGUAACGGCUCACCAAGACGAUGAUACGUAGCCGACCUGAGAGGGUGAUCGGCCACAUUGGGACUGAGACACGGCCCAAACUCCUACGGGAGGCAGCAGUAGGGAAUCUUCCGCAAUGGACGAAAGUCUGACGGAGCAACGCCGCGUGAGUGAAAGAAGGUUUUCGGAUCGUAAAACUCUGUUGUCAGAGAAGAACAAGUUGGAGAGUAACUGCUCCAGCCUUGACGGUAUCUGACCAGAAAGCCACGGCUAACUACGUGCCAGCCGCCGC
rnacentral:rRNA from 1 species